GGCAUAUGUAUCAAGGCUUCCUUGCUUUUCCCUCAUAGGGAGUGUUCCUUGGUGAUUAACUAAUCAUGUGCUCCAAUUCUCAUCUCUGGGAAGAUCUCUCUUAUCCAAUAUUCACCUUGACCACACUGAGAGGGACUUUGAGAAGAAGGAUCUUAUUUCUUUAAAAAUCCACUUCCUCUCUUUGUGAGUUUAAGCACUUGGAACUUUCUAGGAGCUAAGAAAUUCUACAUCAAGAAACCAUGACCAGACUCAGGUCUCCUGCAGCUUCAGAGCACAAUCAUACUACAGAAGUACAUAUUACAUUGAAGCUUUUCCUUUGAAGGCAUCAAGAAGGAACUACUAUUUCUGCAAGUUCAUUUUGUCUUUAGGUAAGAGAUUUUCUAAAGAUCUAUGGGGUUUUAAAGUUUGAUACACUCUAUCAUGAAGGACU
rnacentral:lncRNA from 1 species